AGUCAUGGGCUGGUACUUUGUAUGUAUGUACAUUGCGUAUGGAUAUACGUGAUGCUGUGUAGCAUGUGCCGAAUGCACGUCCGUCUGCCGCAAAGGGGCAGAAUUGGGGGCGGUAAAGAGUGAGCAGGUGUGCCCGAUGCGAUGUUAACCUUGAAAUGCCCAAACGACGCUACUACGACGAUAAUAUUGUACUGUAUCGACAAUUAAAUAUUAGUUGGAUUGACUUCAGGAAAUACUUUUCUUACACUAUUGAUAAUCCGGUCAUAAUGUAUGUAUUCGGUUCGAAUUUCAGUAAGGUUAUUUUGAAACUAAGGAUCAAACAGAUACAACCAAAAAAAGCCAAUAAUUGGGACAAAGCAUGGGACAGAAUCAAUAACUGAGACCUCGAAUGUUUUAGAAGAUGUAGGUACUACGUUAGAGGUUGGUCGUUGCAGCCCGGAAAGUUUAAAAGGACGAUGCAGCUGUUGGGCGCCUUUACGACUGCUAAACCUUCAUGAAAUUAAAAUUCGGUACAAUCGUUUACUAUAUUUAGCAGUUAUGUACGGAAAUAUUUUGGAAAAUAACUUGUACUGCAAUAAAAACCGAGACUUAAGUAUAUAUAUAUUCGGGCGACUGACCCUUGAGGUGGGCUUUUAAACUUUUCUUACAAAAAUUGUACGGGCUUAUGUAUGUGCAGAAGCACUAUACAAGUCGAACUUCUCAAUGUAUAUAAAUGCAUUCUGAUUAGGGUGAAAUAAUCUUAUAGAUUCAAUUAGCCUACUUAACACCUAGGUAUUUAAACUUUAAUACCCAAACUGCGACCUGUAUUAAAAGUAAAACUAUGAAUGGAAAAUUUAAUAAAAAGAUGAAACAUU